rnacentral:rRNA from 1 species
UACAGAGGGUGCGAGCGUUGUCCGGAAUCACUGGGCGUAAAGGGCGCGUAGGCGGCCACUGCAAGUCAGUUGUGAAAUCUCCGGGCUUAACCCGGAAAGGUCAACUGAUACUGCAGGGCUAGAGUGCAGAAGGGGCAACUGGAAUUCUCGGUGUAGCGGUGAAAUGCGUAGAUAUCGAGAGGAACACCUGCGGCGAAGGCGGGUUGCUGGGCUGACACUGACGCUGAUGUGCGAAAGCUAGGGGAGCGAACGGG